rnacentral:rRNA from 1 species
UACGAGGGGGGCAAGUGUUGUUCGGAAUCACUGGGCGUAAAGGGAGCGUAGGCGGGCGCUUAAGUGGGAUGUUUAAAACCGGGGCCCAACCCCGGAGCGGCAUUCCAAACUGGGCGUCUUGAAUAGGGGAGAGGUCGAUGGAAUUGGAGGUGUAGCGGUGGAAUGCGUAGAGAUCUCCAAGAACACCGAUUGCGAAGGCAGUCGACUGGACCCAUAUUGACGCUGAGGCUCGAAAGCAUGGGGAGCAAACAGG